rnacentral:misc_RNA from 1 species
GAUGAAGAACGCAGCGAAAUGCGAUAAGUAAUGUGAAUUACAGAAUUCAGUGAAUCAUCGAAUCUUUGAACGCACAUUGCGCCCUUUGGUAUUCCGAAGGGCAUGCCUGUUCGAGCGUCAUUAUGACCCCUCAAGCCCUCGGCUUGGUGUUGGACGGUUUGGUGGAGGCCCCCUCGGGGGCUCCUGCCCCUCCCAAAGACAAUGACGGCGGCCUCGUUGGACCCCCGGUACACUGAGUUCUUCACGGGACACGUAUCGGACACAUGGGUUUACGGGACACGGUCUGCCUCCCCUCAGGGAGAAUCUUUCUAAGGUUGACCUCGGAUCAGGUAGGGAUACCCGCUGAACUUAAGCAUAUCAAUAAGCGGAGGA